GAUGAAGAACGUAGCGAAAUGCGAUAAGUAAUGUGAAUUGCAGAAUUCAGUGAAUCAUCGAAUCUUUGAACGCACCUUGCGCCCUUUGGCCAUUCCGAAGGGCAUGCCUGUUUGAGUAUCAUGAACACCUCAACUCUUCAUGGUUUUCCAUGAUGAGCUUGGACUUUGGGGGUCUUGCUGGCCUGUGGGUCGGCUCCUCUCAAAUGAAUCAGCUUGCCGGUUUUUGGUGGGCAUCACAGGUGUGAUAACUAUCUACGCUUGUGGUUUUCCACCAGGGUAACCUUCAGCAGUGGAGGUUCACUGGAGCUUACAAAUGUCUCUCCUCUGUGAGGACAGCCCUUUGGAUGUUUGAUCUCAAAUCAGGUAGGACUACCCGCUGAACUUAAGCAUAUCAAUAAGCGGAGGA
rnacentral:misc_RNA from 1 species